rnacentral:rRNA from 1 species
UAAAUUGAGAGUUUGAUCCUGGCUCAGGAUGAACGCUGGCGGCGUGCCUAAUACAUGCAAGUCGAACGAAACUUCUUUAUCACCGAGUGCUUGCACUCACCGAUGAAGAGUUGAGUGGCGAACGGGUGAGUAACACGUGGGCAACCUGCCCAAAAGAGGGGGAUAACACUUGGAAACAGGUGCUAAUACCGCAUAACCAUAGUUACCGCAUGGUAACUAUGUAAAAGGUGGCUAUGCUACCGCUUUUGGAUGGGCCCGCGGCGCAUUAGCUGGUUGGUGGGGUAAAGGCUUACCAAGGCAAUGAUGCGUAGCCGAACUGAGAGGUUGAUCGGCCACAUUGGGACUGAGACACGGCCCAAACUCCUACGGGAGGCAGCAGUAGGGAAUCUUCCACAAUGGGCGAAAGCCUGAUGGAGCAACGCCGCGUGGGUGAAGAAGGUCUUCGGAUCGUAAAACCCUGUUGUUAGAGAAGAAAGUGCGUGAGAGUAACUGUUCACGUUUCGACGGUAUCUAACCAGAAAGCCACGGCUAACUACGUGCCAGCAGCCGCGGUAAUACGUAGGUGGCAAGCGUUAUCCGGAUUUAUUGGGCGUAAAGGGAACGCAGGCGGUCUUUUAAGUCUGAUGUGAAAGCCUUCGGCUUAACCGGAGUAGUGCAUUGGAAACUGGGAGACUUGAGUGCAGAAGAGGAGAGUGGAACUCCAUGUGUAGCGGUGAAAUGCGUAGAUAUAUGGAAGAACACCAGUGGCGAAAGCGGCUCUCUGGUCUGUAACUGACGCUGAGGUUCGAAAGCGUGGGUAGCAAACAGGAUUAGAUACCCUGGUAGUCCACGCCGUAAACGAUGAAUGCUAAGUGUUGGAGGGUUUCCGCCCUUCAGUGCUGCAGCUAACGCAAUAAGCAUUCCGCCUGGGGAGUACGACCGCAAGGUUGAAACUCAAAGGAAUUGACGGGGGCCCGCACAAGCGGUGGAGCAUGUGGUUUAAUUCGAAGCAACGCGAAGAACCUUACCAGGUCUUGACAUCUUUUGACAAUCCUAGAGAUAGGACUUUCCCUUCGGGGACAAAAUGACAGGUGGUGCAUGGUUGUCGUCAGCUCGUGUCGUGAGAUGUUGGGUUAAGUCCCGCAACGAGCGCAACCCUUAUUGUUAGUUGCCAGCAUUAAGUUGGGCACUCUAGCAAGACUGCCGGUGACAAACCGGAGGAAGGUGGGGAUGACGUCAAAUCAUCAUGCCCCUUAUGACCUGGGCUACACACGUGCUACAAUGGACGGUACAACGAGUCGCAAGACCGCGAGGUUUAGCAAAUCUCUUAAAGCCGUUCUCAGUUCGGAUUGUAGGCUGCAACUCGCCUACAUGAAGUCGGAAUCGCUAGUAAUCGCGGAUCAGCAUGCCGCGGUGAAUACGUUCCCGGGCCUUGUACACACCGCCCGUCACACCAUGAGAGUUUGUAACACCCAAAGCCGGUGGGGUAACCUUUUGGAGCCAGCCGUCUAAGGUGGGACAGAUGAUUAGGGUGAAGUCGUAACAAGGUAGCCGUAGGAGAACCUGCGGCUGGAUCACCUCCUUUCUAAGGA